UACCAGCACCCCGAGUGGUCGGGACGUUUUAUUGGGCCUAAAGGCAUCCGUAGCCGGUUCUACAAGUCUUCCGUUAAAUCCAGCUGCUUAACAGAUGGGCUGCGGAAGAUACUAUGGAGCUAGGAGGCGGGAGAGGCAAGCGGUACUCGAUGGGUAGGGGUAAAAUCCGUUGAUCCAUUGAAGACCACCAGUGGCGAAGGCGGCUUGCCAGAACGCGCUCGACGGUGAGGGAUGAAAGCUGGGGGAGCAAACCGG
rnacentral:rRNA from 1 species